CACGGGUGAGUAACGCGUGGAUAAUCUGCCCUGUGAUCUGGGAUAACACUUCGAAAGGGGUGCUAAUACCGGAUAAGACCACGGAGUCUUAGGACUCUGCGGUAAAAGGUGGGGACCUUCGGGCCUACCGUCAUCGGAUGAGUCCGCGUACCAUUAGCUAGUUGGUAGGGUAAGAGCCUACCAAGGCGACGAUGGUUAGCUGGUCUGAGAGGAUGAUUUUUUUUCUCUGGAACUGAGACACGGUCCAGACUCCUACGGGAGGCAGCAGUGGGGAAUUUUGCGCAAUGGGGGAAACCCUGACGCAGCAACGCCGCGUGAGUGAUGAAGGCCUUCGGGUC
rnacentral:rRNA from 1 species